rnacentral:ncRNA from 2 species
UGUUAUCAAGGGGAUGGAGUCCCCCGUAUAAAUGCACAAUGUUCGGCUGAUGACUCCUACCGCAUC